ACUCCUACGGGAGGCAGCAGUGGGGAAUAUUGCACAAUGGGGGAAACCCUGAUGCAGCGACGCCGCGUGGAGGAAGAAGGUCUUCGGAUUGUAAACUCCUGUUGUUGAGGAAGAUAAUGACGGUACUCAACAAGGAAGUGACGGCUAACUACGUGCCAGCAGCCGCGGUAAAACGUAGGUCACAAGCGUUGUCCGGAAUUACUGGGUGUAAAGGGAGCGCAGGCGGGAAGACAAGUUGGAAGUGAAAUCCAUGGGCUCAACCCAUGAACUGCUUUCAAAACUGUUUUUCUUGAGUAGUGCAGAGGUAGGCGGAAUUCCCGGUGUAGCGGUGGAAUGCGUAGAUAUCGGGAGGAACACCAGUGGCGAAGGCGGCCUACUGGGCACCAACUGACGCUGAGGCUCGAAAGUGUGGGUAG
rnacentral:rRNA from 1 species